UACGAAGGGGGCUAGCGUUGCUCGGAAUUACUGGGCGUAAAGGGCGCGUAGGCGGCACUGUUAGUCAGGCGUGAAAAGUCCUGGGCUCAACCUGGGAACUGCGCUUGAUACGGCAGAGCUAGAGGAUGGAAGAGGCUCGCGGAAUUCCCAGUGUAGAGGUGAAAUUCGUAGAUAUUGGGAAGAACACCGGUGGCGAAGGCGGCGAGCUGGUCCAUUACUGACGCUGAGGCGCGACAGCGGUGGGGAGCAAACAGG
rnacentral:rRNA from 1 species